AAGCUUUUCUUUUUUUAUUAUCUUUUUACAAUUUAAUUAUUAUUUUAACGUUUCAAAAACUUGUUAUGUUAAGUUGGGCCACGUCUACCGAUUUGGGCCGGUCCAGCACAACCACAAACGACACUCUCAGUGGAUUAGAUGUGAGAACGACGUCGUGUGAUCGACGGUCGUCUUAUCCCUUGUAACCGACAAAAUAUCAUUUUAAUGGCAAUCAAGCAAAAACCCCAGGCCGUUAACCGGAGGUUUAUGGGCGGAAGAUGAUAAAGCGAAGGAAAUAUUCUGCUUAGGGGUUUUGGGUAUAUUCUAUUUCGCUCUCUCUGUGAAUAGAAAAACAUGGCAGUUUCCUCGCUCUAUCCAUUCAAUCCUACUCUCCUCUCUAAAAUUUCUGCUCAGCCUCAUCUUUUUGUACACCCGGUUUUGAAACGAAGCAGAAUUGGGGAAAUGGUGACUGAUGAUGGCCGAAGAAGAAGCAAGCUAAGUAGGUUUCUGACUUUGUCGAUGCACUCUAAUGCUAAGGUUCUCAAGUCCAAUAGGAAGUCACGGUAUGGGCAGACGAUUAGUCUCUAUGAUAGCACUGAAGAGGAGGAGGAGGAGGAGGAGGAUGAAGACGACGAUGACGUCUCAGAGGACGAUUGGCUGUUGGAUGAUGAAUUUGCAGAACCUGCAGAAUUUGAGGUCAACGGUAAAACAUUGAAGGCUCGAAAGAAAAUCAAUGAAAGACGAGGUGGUCAGAGACAGUUGGAUGUAAACAGGAACACUCAGGAGAAGAGAAUUGUUGGAAAUUUUUAUCAUACUAAAAACAAAAUGAAGGGGGCGGAUUCCUCACAUAUGGAUAACAAAGCCAAGCUGGUGCCCAAAGCACCUAAUGAGAAAAAAUAUCAAAAGGUGUCUGAAGAGAUAGAUUUAGAUGAGAAAUGGAUCCCACUUUUUGAUUACCUAAUUACCUUUGGGCUCAAGGAAUCAGACUUCAUCCAGAUGUAUGAGAGGCACAUGCCGUCCCUUCAAAUAAAUGUAUCUUCUGCACAGGAGAGGUUGGAGUACCUGCUGAGCAUUGGUGUCAAACACAGAGAUAUCAGAAGAAUACUUUUGAGGCAGCCACAAAUUCUAGAAUAUACAGUUGAGAACAAUUUGAAAUCUCAUGUUGCAUUCUUGAGGGGUUUAGGUAUCCCGAACUCUAAAAUAGGGCAGAUAAUUGCUGUUGCUCCUUCACUCUUUUCAUAUAGUGUUGAAAAUUCAUUAAAACCUACAGUUAGAUAUUUGGUGAAGGAAGUAGGCAUCAAUGAAAAAAAUAUAGGUAAAGUAGUGCAGCUGAGCCCUCAGAUCCUGGUUCAGCGGAUCGACAUAUCAUGGAAUACUCGCUAUAUUUUUCUUUCAAAGGAAUUGGGAGCAUCUAGAGAUAAUGUUGUUAAGAUGGUAACAAAACAUCCUCAGCUCCUCCAUUACAGCAUAGAUGAUGGAUUCGUUCCAAGGAUCAAUUUUUUGAGGAGCAUUGGCAUGCAGAAUUCUGACAUCUUGAAAAUCUUGACUAGCCUUACACAGGUAUUAUCUUUGUCACUGGAAGACAAUCUAAAGCCAAAAUACAUGUAUUUGAUUAAUGAACUUCGUAAUGAGGUGCACUCAUUGACAAAGUAUCCUAUGUACUUGAGCUUGUCUUUGGACCAAAGAAUUCGCCCUCGCCAUAAGUUCUUGGUUGCCUUAAAGAAAGCUCCCAAGGGACCAUUUCCUCUCAGUUCAUUUGUUCCAACAGACGAAUGCUUUUGUCAGCAAUGGGCUGGAACUAGCUUAGAUAAAUAUUUAGCAUUUCGGCAGCAAUUACUGCUGAAGAAGUUCGCAUUGAAAUACGAAAGACAAGGAUAAUGUGUUGCAAUAAAACCUGUGCUCUUUUUACCAACUCGAGUACCGUGGCAAGGUUGCUCCAAUAGUCAGCAAGUCAUGUGGCUCAUUUCCAAAACUGACCUGGAAAUAGUAAGGUGAAUCUCUGGUAUUCAGAUUACAAUGAACGUCCAGGGAGCAAGUUACUGGUUGCUGACUUUUUGAUUCGCUUGAUUUUCAUUGUAUUCUCUGCAAGUGGUUUGCGGAUAACCUGUGCAGCGCCUGCUCUAUUUCUGCUCAUAUUUGAGCUCCAGAAAGCUUGUUUGUGAGAAAGGAAAAGUAUUGAUAUUUGAAGGAGCAACAAGCAAAUUGUCAUCAAAACAGCUUUUCCAGGAUUAUCAUCUCAUAUUCUUGAAUGAUCAUCCAAUGCAUUGCAGGAUUAUGCUAAUUGCAAUCCAUCAAGAGAUGAUGCUUGAAGGAACAAGUUGUUGUCACAGCAAGUUUUUCUCUGCCCACCACUUCGGAUGGUACAGCUUCAGCUGUUUUUUGCGCCCUAUAGUUUUUCAUUGUUGGGUCGUCUUGCAUCUCACAGAUCACAUCGAAUUUGAGUUGGGUAUCCCCAACCAAAGGCCAGAGAUUGUCUUAUUGGUAAUCGCAUCAUCCUUCAAAGUGGAAGUGUAUUUAGUGUUUAAUUUACUAGGAAUGGGCAUGUCAAUUUGGAAUAGAUGUCUUAAGAUUUUUAUUAUGAUAUUUACUAGUUACUGGUCAAUGUGUUCACUGAAGGCAAUAUGACAAGGUUAUUUCAAAUUGUAUUUUUGACUGUCAUGGAUUUCUUGUUGCAUGGUCUUGGAUUUCUUGUUCUUAAAUUUGACAUCGAUUGGUUUA